AGAGUUUGAUCCUGGCUCAGGAUGAACGCUAGCUACAGGCUUAACACAUGCAAGUCGAGGGGAAACGACAUCGAAAGCUUGCUUUUGAUGGGCGUCGACCGGCGCACGGGUGAGUAACGCGUAUCCAACCUGCCCACCACUUGGGGAUAACCUUGCGAAAGUAAGACUAAUACCCAAUGACGUCUCUAGAAGACAUCUGAAAGAGAUUAAAGAUUUAUCGGUGAUGGAUGGGGAUNCGUCUGAUUAGCUUGUUGGCGGGGUAACGGCCACCAAGGCGACGAUCAGUAGGGGUUCUGAGAGGAAGGUCCCCCACAUUGGAACUGAGACACGGUCAAACCUCCUACGGGAGGCA
rnacentral:rRNA from 1 species